CCUACGGGUGGCAGCAGUGAGGAAUAUUGGUCAAUGGACGAGAGGCUGAACCAGCCAAGUAGCGUGAAGGAUGACUGCCCUAUGGGUUGUAAACUUCUUUUAUAUGGGAAUAAAAUGUUCCACGUGUGGGAUUUUGUAUGUACCAUAUGAAUAAGGAUCGGCUAACUCCGUGCCAGCAGCCGCGGUAAUACGGAGGAUCCGAGCGUUAUCCGGAUUUAUUGGGUUUAAAGGGAGCGUAGGUGGGUUGUUAAGUCAGUUGUGAAAGGUUGCGGCUCAACCGUAAAAUUGCAGUUGAAACUGGCAGUCUUGAGUACAGUAGAGGUGGGCGGAAUUCGUGGUGUAGCGGUGAAAUGCUUAGAUAUCACGAAGAACUCCGAUUGCGAAGGCAGCUCACUGGCCUGCAACUGACGCUGAGGCUCGAAAGUGUGGGUAUCAAACAGGAUUAGAUACCCGUGUAGUC
rnacentral:rRNA from 1 species